rnacentral:rRNA from 1 species
UACAGAGGUCUCGAGCGUUAGGCGGAAUCACUGGGCUUAAAGCGUGUGUAGGCGGAUCGGUAAGUACCUUGUGAAAUCCCACAGCUUAACUGUGGAACUGCUUGGUAUACUGCCGGUCUUGAGCCAGCUAGGGGCUACCGGAACAAAUGGUGGAGCGGUGAAAUGCGUAGAUAUCAUUUGGAACGCCAAUGGUGAAAACAGGUAGCUGGGGGUGUGCUGACGCUGAGACACGAAAGCCAGGGGAGCGAACAGG